ACCCGGCCACCCAGUGGUAACGCUAUGGGGGUGCCGGGCCCGGCUCGGCCAUCCCCGUCCUUCGUCAUCCGGCCUCCCUUCACGGAUGAGGGAGCCCGUGGUUGGAACUGGCCCGGCCCCUUAGUCAUCUCCCUGACUAGAAAAAGGCGUAAAAUACGCAAAAAAAUAUCCAGUUAGGUAAUACGUGAUCCGGGUGGCUUUCGAGCGUCGGGGACGAGAAAAAUGUCGGAACUGAGAAAUGGCUAUGGAAAUUGUAGUUUCGUCUACACGAUUUUUUCGCGGAUGUACCAAUUGAACUUCGACACGGUUUCUCCCGGCCCGCUAUUAAUUUUUGACGACCGCGUGGUAAAGCGGCCGCUUACCGUCUGGCGCUUCCGAUUUUUCGGGACCGGGUUCGAUCUCUUCCAGAAAAACCGGAAGCUCGAACCCAGUGUAGCUGACCAUCUAUAAAAGAAGCCGUCACCGGGUAAAAUGCGAUUCCAUCAUCGGUAUGGCGGGUAAUUAACCAGCUCUAGCUUAAUUGUCCGAAUUAAUGAACGAUUUUAGCCGGCCUACCUAGGAAAGUAUUUUUCCGGAAAUUCUUUUAAACGGUAUUUCUCAAAACCGGCAUAUUUAUCUUAUGGAUACCGAAAAACCGGCACGGAUUUUGGAAUGCCGAUUUUUCGGUACAAAUUAAAAAUGAACCGUUUUACUCGAGCCCACGAAAUGGCCCACCAUUAAUCCUUAUCCAUUAAUAUCGAAUUGGGCCCGGAAGGACUUGUUUUUUUGCCAACAGAUGAUGCCACUUUCCACUCGGUAAGAGUACUGAGUGGCGGGGCGAAACAAGCC
rnacentral:lncRNA from 1 species